rnacentral:rRNA from 1 species
CCUACGGGACGCACCAGUGGGGAAUAUUGCACAAUGGGCGCAAGCCUGAUGCAGCCAUGCCGCGUGUAUGAAGAAGGCCUUCGGGUUGUAAAGUACUUUCAGCGGGGAGGAAGGUGUUGUGGUUAAUAACCGCAGCAAUUGACGUUACCCGCAGAAGAAGCACCGGCUAACUCCGUGCCAGCAACCGCGGUAAUACGGAGGGUGCAAGCGUUAAUCGGAAUUACUGGGCGUAAGGCGCACGCAGGCGGUCUGUCAAGUCGGAUGUGAAAUCCCCGGGCUCAACCUGGGAACUGCAUUCGAAACAGGCAGGCUAGAGUCUUGUAGAGGGGGGUAGAAUUCCAGGUGUAGCGGUGAAAUGCGUAGAGAUCUGGAGGAAUACCGGUGGCGAAGGUGGCCCCCUGGACAAAGACUGACGCUCAGGUGCGAAAGCGUGGGGGGCAAACAGGAUUAGAUACCCGUGUAGUC